rnacentral:rRNA from 1 species
UACGUAGGGUGCGAGCGUUGUCCGGAAUUAUUGGGCGUAAAGAGCUCGUAGGCGGUCUGUCGCGUCGAUCGUGAAAACUUGGGGCUUAACCCUGAGCUUGCGGUCGAUACGGGCAUGACUGGAGUUCGGCAGGGGAGACUGGAAUUCCUGGUGUAGCGGUGAAAUGCGCAGAUAUCAGGAGGAACACCAGUGGCGAAGGCGGCUCACUGGUCCAUUACUGACGCUGAGGUGCGAAAGCGUGGGGAGCAAACAGG